rnacentral:rRNA from 1 species
UCGGAUGUGCCCAGGUGCAUGGCAGACGGGUGAGUAACGCGUGGGGAAUCUACCUCUUUGUGGGGAAUAACGCUCCGAAAGGAGUGGUAAUACCGCAUGAGAUCCAUGGCUGGGAUGCUGUGGAUGAAACCUGGGGACCGCAAGGCCUGGGGCAAGGAGAGGAUCCUGCGUCUGAUUAGCUAGUUGGUGAGGUAAUGGCCCACCAAAGCGACGAUCAGUAGCCGGCCUGAGAGGGUGAUCGGCCACACUGGAACUGAGACACGGUCCAGACUCCUACGGGAGGCAGCAGUGGGGAAUUUUGCGCAAUGGGCGAAAGCCUGACGCAGCAACGCCGCGUGGGUGAUGAAGGUCUUCGGAUCGUAAAACCCUGUCGUCGGGGACGAAGGUUUGGGCGUUAAUAGCGUUCAAGCUUGACGGUACCCGGAGAGGAAGCCCCGGCUAACUCUGUGCCAGCAGCCGCGGUAAUACAGAGGGGGCAAGCGUUAUUCGGAAUUAUUGGGCGUAAAGGGCGCGUAGGCGGCUUUUUAAGUGAGAUGUGUAAUCCCCGAGCUCAACUUGGGAACUGCAUCUCAUACUGGGAGGCUAGAGUACUGGAGAGGGUGGUAGAAUUCCACGUGUAGCGGU